CGCAGCGCAGACAGCUCAGCGGUCCGGUGGUGGCACCGCCAGCAGAGCCACCUAGCCGGCCCGCUGCCCCGACGUACCGUUAGCCCCUUCUGCCCAGGGAGGGACACUGCUCGUCACUCCCGCAGUGUUAGAGAGAGCGAGACUUUUUCGGGGCAUUGUGGCUUCCUUCUAAGGUAUACAAAUAUUUUUCGUUUCAAUCUCUAAUCCUACCCCCCACAGCUUUUUAAAUUUUGGAUGCUUGGGGGCAGGGGAACAUUAAACAGCAUGUCAGCGCACAUGAUCCACGGGACUCACUUUUUAUGUGCGUGGCAGGUAGGAGGGAGCCUCACAAGUCAUUACAUUCGUCAGAGAGAAAUGCCGUAUAAGCGGCUGCUGUGGCACUAGAAGAGAGAAGUCACUCCCAGGUGUGAGCAAAGAUGGGAAAGAAGAGGCUGUGUUCCUCACAGUGCCCUGGCCAUGGGUCCAGGUCAGGAGGCACAGGAAUUGGAGGGACGGAUGAAUGGAUGGACAGCAUAGGGCACAUAGGUGGGUCAUAGACUUGGGUUCAGAAGGAUUACUGGGAAGGGAGAGAGUGGGAUGGGCUGAAGGGGAAUGGGGGGGUGCAGAAACACAUGGGGAGGAGUGGUGGCUGACUGGGGCAAAUGUGUCUGACUGAAUGAGAGAGGCUAGGGGUCAGCCAGGGUUGACAUGGGGGAGACUUCCUAACAAUCCUUCCCCACCCCCAAAAAAACUUGUUCCGUACUUCUCCCACCCACACUCAACAACCCAGCAAGUUCACAACCAGGUUCCUUCCCAGCAAUUACUUCCCUCUCUCUCAGCUCCUCAAUUAUCCUAACUCUCCCAAGCCUUUGCACUGCUUCUGAGGAGUGCAGGAAAUAUGUUUCUGUAUUGUUCUUUAAAUUAUUACUCAAGAUUCUAUAUUAAUAUGCCUACUAUGGAACCUAUUUGU